rnacentral:snRNA from 1 species
UGAUAGGGCGAUCUGGCUGCAACAUCUGUCACCCCAUUGAUCACCAGGGUUGAUUCGGCUGAUCUGGCUGGCUAGGUGGGUGUCCCCUUCCUCCCUCAUCGCUCCAUGUGCGUCCCUCCCGAAGGCUGCAGCUGCGUGCUCUUUGGAAGAGGACGACCUUCCCCGAUAGAGGAGGACCUUUCUUUGGUCAAGGGUAUACGAGUAGCUGCGCUCCCCUGCUAGAACCUCCAAACAAGCUCUCAAGGUGGCUCACACUUGUAAUCCCAGGGCUCAGGAGGCUGAAGCAGGAGGCUUGAUAGUUCAAAGCCAGCCU